rnacentral:rRNA from 1 species
CUAUGCGCCUUGCCAGCCCGCUCAGUCAGAGUUUGAUCCUGGCUCAGGAUGAACGCUGGCGGCGUGCUUAACACAUACAAGUCGAACGGAAAGGCCUUGUGCUUGCACAAGGUACUCGAGUGGCGAACGGGUGAGUAACACGUGGGUGAUCUGCCCUGCACUGUGGGAUAAGCCUGGGAAACUGGGUCUAAUACCAUAUAGGACCGCAUCUUGGAUGGUGUGGUGGAAAGCUUUUGCGGUGUGGGGUGAGCCUGCGGCCUAUCAGCUUGUUGUGGGUAAUGGCCUACCAAGGCGGCGACGGGUAUCCGGCCUGAGAGGGUGUACGGACACAUUGGGACUGAGAUACGGCCCAG